UACACCUCGAAAUCUGCCUACCUCAUUCAGUUUGAGGGAUGCCGCAGGGCCGGAUUUGGUGACUUCGUCUGGAAAGCCGACGCACCUGGCAAGUGCAAGAUCUUUGCAUGGCUAGCCCUCCUCGGACGCUGCAACACGGCCGACGUACUAGCAAAGAAGGGAUGGCCACACGACCCAGCUUGCGCUCUUUGCGCCGGCCCCAUGGAAAACGCAGUGCACCUCCUCGCCUCGUGCCCCUACACGAUCACUGUAUGGCAGGUGAUCCUGCGACGGAGCAAUCUACCUGCGGCCCUGUCUCCCACAACAACCACUGCAUCACUGACUGAAUGGACAGAACACACCACAAGUCAGCUUUCAGGUGACGAGAAGAAACAAUGG
rnacentral:rRNA from 1 species